GAAACCAACAGGGAUUGCCCUAGUAACGGCGAGUGAAGCGGCAACAGCUCAAAUUUGAAAUCUGGCGCAAGCCCGAGUUGUAAUUUGCAGAGGAUGCUUCUAGGCAGCGGCCGUUCUAAGUUCCUUGGAACAGGACGUCAUAGAGGGUGAGAAUCCCGUAUGUGACCGGCACGCACCUUUUACGUAGCUCCUUCGACGAGUCGAGUUGUUUGGGAAUGCAGCUCUAAAUGGGAGGUAAAUUUCUUCUAAAGCUAAAUACCGGCCAGAGACCGAUAGCGCACAAGUAGAGUGAUCGAAAGAUGAAAAGCACUUUGGAAAGAGAGUUAAAAAGCACGUGAAAUUGUUGAAAGGGAAGCGCCUGCAACCAGACUUCGCGGCAGUGUUCCGCCGGUCUUCUGACCGGUUCAUUCUCUGUCGCGAGGCCAUCAUCGUCUGGGGCCGCUGGAUAAGACUGGAGGAAUGUAGCUCCCCUCGGGGAGUGUUAUAGCUUCCAGUGAUGCAGCGUGUCCCGGGCGAGGUCCGCGCUUCGGCUAGGAUGAUGGCGUAAUGGUUGUCGGCGGCCCGUCUUGAAACACGGACCAAGGAGUCUAACAUCUAUGCGAGUGUUCGGGUGUCAAACCCCUACGCGUAAUGAAAGUGAACGGAGGUGGGAACGUAAGUGCACCAUCGACCGAUCCUGAUGUCCUCGGAUGGAUUUGAGUAAGAGCAUAGCUGUUGGGACCCGAAAGAUGGUGAACUAUGCCUGAAUAGGGUGAAGCCAGAGGAAACUCUGGUGGAGGCUCGCAGCGGUUCUGACGUGCAAAUCGAUCGUCAAAUUUGGGUAUAGGGGCGAAAGACUAAUCGAACCAU
rnacentral:rRNA from 1 species